rnacentral:tRNA from 1 species
AUUGGGAUAGUUUAAUAGGUUAAAACCUUAAUUUUAUAAGUUAAAGAUAAGAAUUCGAGUUUCUCUUUUAGUU